UGCUCAAUGAACCUAAAUAGCCGCACUAUUAUGCGCCAAGGUAGCAUAAUCAUUUGUCCUCUAAUUAAGGACUAGAAUGAAAGAUUUCACAUUUCAAAAAUUUUCUUAACUUUAAAUUUAAAAAUUAUUCCAAGUAUAAAAAAAUACUUAUUCAUUAAAAAGACAACAAGACCCUAUUGAACUUAACUUCAGUUUUACUGGGGAAGUCCAUUAAUUAACACUUUAAUUUACUUUAAGCCUAAAAUACCCGAUAUCAUCGAAUCCAUCAAGCUACCAUAGGGAUAACAGCGCAAUCUCUUUCCAAAGAUCUUAUAUAAAAAGAAGAUUACGACCUCGAUGUUGAAUAAAUUCCCUUAUUUAUGCAAAAAUAAAUUUGAAAGGAGGUCUGUUCGACCUUUAAUAAUUUACA
rnacentral:rRNA from 1 species